CAAAUACGAGCGCGGCGGCCGCGGCGGCAGCAGCGGCGCGGGCGGGAGGGCGAAGAGCAGCGGCCGCCUGAGGGGAGCCCGCGCCUCCGCCGCCUGAGAGGAGGUCGAGCUGCCGCCGGGGCGAUGCUGGAGGAGCUGGAGUGCGGGGCGCCCGGCGCCAGGGGAGCCGCCACAGCCAUGGAUUGCAAAGAUAGACCAGCUUUUCCAGUUAAGAAGUUAAUACAAGCCCGUCUGCCGUUUAAGCGCCUGAAUCUUGUCCCAAAGGGGAAAGCCGAUGACAUGUCAGACGAUCAGGGUACUUCUGUGCAAAGUAAAAGCCCCGAUUUAGAGGCCUCUUUGGACACCUUGGAAAACAACUGUCAUGUGGGUUCUGACAUAGACUUUAGACCGAAACUUGUCAACGGGAAGGGUCCCUUAGAUAACUUUUUAAGAAAUAGAAUCGAAACCAGUAUUGGCCAGAGCACAGUCAUCAUUGAUUUGACAGAGGACUCGAAUGAGCAGCCAGACAGUCUUGUGGACCACAAUAAACUAAAUUCUGAAGCCUCUCCCUCCAGGGAGGCAAUAAAUGGCCAGCGAGAAGACACUGGGGAUCAGCAGGGGUUGUUGAAGGCCAUUCAGAACGACAAGUUGGCAUUUCCUGGAGAGACCCUUUCAGACAUUCCUUGCAAAACAGAGGAGGAGGGUGUUGGCUGUGGAGGUGCAGGGAGGAGAGGCGACUCCCAGGAAUGUUCGCCACGGAGCUGCCCGGAGCUGACGAGUGGCCCGAGAAUGUGCCCCAGAAAGGAGCAGGACAGUUGGAGUGAAGCUGGGGGCAUCCUGUUCAAAGGGAAGGUGCCUAUGGUGGUCUUGCAGGACAUCUUGGCUGUGAGACCACCGCAAAUCAAGUCCCUUCCAGCCACACCCCAAGGCAAGAACAUGACCCCUGAGAGUGAGGUGCUGGAAUCUUUCCCCGAAGAAGACUCUGUACUCAGCCAUUCGUCCCUGAGCUCUCCCUCUUCCACCAGCUCGCCCGAGGGGCCGCCUGCUCCCCCAAAGCAGCACAGCAGUACCAGUCCCUUCCCCACCUCCACGCCCCUCCGCAGAAUAACUAAGAAAUUCGUCAAAGGCUCUACAGAGAAGAACAAGCUCAGACUGCAAAGAGAUCAGGAGCGUCUGGGCAAGCAGCUCAAGUUACGUGCAGAAAGGGAAGAAAAGGAGAAGCUGAAAGAGGAGGCCAAGCGGGCCAAGGAGGAGGCCAAGAAGAAGAAGGAGGAAGAGAAGGAGCUUAAGGAAAAGGAGAGGCGGGAGAAGCGGGAGAAGGAUGAGAAGGAGAAGGCGGAGAAGCAGCGGCUCAAGGAGGAGCGGCGCAAGGAGAGACAGGAAGCCCUGGAGGCUAAACUUGAGGAAAAAAGGAAAAAGGAAGAAGAGAAACGGUUAAGAGAAGAAGAGAAGCGCAUUAAAGCAGAGAAGGCCGAAAUCACGAGGUUCUUCCAGAAACCAAAGACUCCACAGGCCCCCAAGACCCUGGCCGGCUCCUGUGGGAAGUUUGCCCCCUUUGAAAUUAAAGAGCACAUGGUCCUGGCCCCUCGGCGUCGGACCGCUUUCCAUCCAGACCUCUGCAGUCAGCUGGACCAGCUCCUCCAGCAGCAGAGCGGCGAGUUCUCCUUCUUGAAAGACCUCAAAGGCCGGCAGCCCCUGAGGUCCGGACCCACGCACGUUUCCACCCGGAAUGCAGAUAUUUUUAACAGUGAUGUCGUCAUCGUGGAGCGUGGGAAGGGCGACGGUGUUCCCGAGAGGAGGAAGUUUGGCAGGAUGAAGCUCCUGCAGUUCUGUGAGAACCACCGGCCUGCCUACUGGGGUACCUGGAAUAAGAAGACGGCACUCAUCCGCGCGCGAGACCCCUGGGCCCAGGACACGAAGCUCCUGGACUAUGAGGUGGACAGUGAUGAGGAGUGGGAAGAAGAGGAGCCUGGGGAGUCCCUGUCCCACAGUGAGGGGGAUGAUGAUGACGACAUGGGAGAGGAUGAAGAUGAGGACGAUGGUUUCUUUGUGCCCCAUGGGUACCUGUCUGAGGACGAAGGUGUGACAGAGGAGUGUGCCGACCCUGAGAACCAUAAGGUCCGCCAGAAACUGAAGGCCAAGGAGUGGGACGAGUUCCUGGCUAAGGGGAAGCGCUUUCGCGUCCUGCAACCUGUGAAGAUCGGCUGCGUGUGGGCGGCUGACAGAGACUGCGCAGGCGAUGACCUGAAGGUACUGCAGCAGUUCGCAGCCUGCUUCCUGGAGACCCUGCCGGCCCAGGAGGAGCAGACGCCCAAGGCCUCCAAGCGGGAGAGGAGAGACGAGCAGAUCCUGGCCCAGCUGCUGCCGCUCCUGCACGGCAAUGUGAACGGGAGCAAGGUCAUCAUCCGGGAGUUCCAGGAGCACUGCCGCCGGGGACUGCUCAGCAACCACACCGGCAGCCCGCGGAGCCCCUCCACCACCUACCUGCACACCCCCACCCCCAGCGAGGAUGCCGCCAUCCCCUCUAAGUCCCGGCUCAAGCGGCUCAUUUCCGAGAACUCAGUGUAUGAGAAGCGGCCUGACUUCAGGAUGUGCUGGUACGUGCACCCGCAGGUGCUACAGAGCUUCCAGCAGGAGCACCUGCCCGUGCCGUGCCAGUGGAGCUAUGUGACAUCGGUGCCCUCGGCCCCCAAAGAGGACAGUGGCAGCGUCCCCUCCACGGGGCCCAGCCAGGGCACUCCCAUCUCGCUGAAGAGGAAGUCAGCGGGCAGCAUGUGCAUCACCCAAUUCAUGAAGAAGCGCAGGCACGACGGCCAGAUUGGUGCUGAAGACAUGGACGGCUUCCAGGCAGACACGGAGGAGGAGGAAGAGGAGGAGGGCGACUGUAUGAUCGUGGAUGUCCCGGAUGCUGCGGCCAUGCGCAGCCUCUUCCAGUCUCUCUCUGAUUCACCCUCCUGCCACCUCUUGUGAGGACACUGGGUCCCGGACCACCCAGGAUCAUCUCCCAGCUCAAGACCUUUCAUCAUACCCAAGCCCCUCUUGCCAGGUGAAGUUGCGCAUCUGCAGGUUCCAGGAAUAGGAUGUGGCCGUCUCAGGACACCCUGUCCCUCUGGCCACAGGGAAGCCAGGCCUGUGACAGCACUCGCCUCCCCUGCAGGGACUGGGCCUUUGUGGGCACAGCACAGCCUCCCCUAGCGCACGGGACUUCCUCCCCAGGUGGGUGGCUCAUCGGGCACUUGUGGCCAGGUGCUGGCCUGAGAACAGGUAUCCACAUGGUCCCACCUUGACAGGGAGCCACACCCAGCCCCCAAGCCAUCCGCUCUUCAGCAGGUGGGCCUGCCCUGUGUCCCACGGUUUCAACGGAGAACCAAGAAACUAUAUUCAAACAACCUGUUUAUUUGGGCUUAUGAUUUACUAACUGCAGGUCUAUGUGCAGGAAGGCCAGCAUCCCCUCCUGCCGUUGUCACCCACAUCCACAGAGCAGCCCUAGUGCCAGGUGCAGCCACUGCCACCCACGGCACACGGGAACAGGACCCAUGCUGCAGGCCUGCUCUCCUGCCCAGGGAGAUGCCACGUGUGUCUGUCCGGCAGCUUCAUGACACAGUUACCAAGCAGCUAGGGAGGGCUUAGAUUUGUUGGUGUCCCCAGGCCUCUCCCUCGGGGGCUUGGGCGCAUCCCCACAGCCCCCAAGGGAUGGGGGCUCUGCCACGGGGCCCAAUUCCACAGCUCCACGGCUGGCGCCCCUCCCGUGCCCAUGGGGCAGAGCCAAGUAUUUCCAGAGGUGGCUUGGAGGCCCUGGGGUGGCGGGGAGAGGAACAGGGAGAGCAUGAGACAGACCCACAGGGCUGAGGCCAACCCUGCUUUUAUUUCACAAGAGCUUCUCGAUGGCUGACAGGAGCUCGGGUUUCAGGAUGGAGUCCGGCUCGGCCCCCGCGGCCUUGAUGUCCUCCAGCACAGCCAUGUCCCACGAGAAGGUCAGGAGGGCAGAGGGCACCUGCGGUAGGGGUAGGCCGUCACUCUGAGACCGAGAGUCGGCCCUUGCCGCGGCAGGGAACUCAGCGGGCAACCUGGGCGCGGGGAUGCCCCGGCCUGGAAGCCAUCUCAGCUGGUGGAGGCUGUGGCUCGCACCCAGGCCUCCUGCCCUCUCCCUCCGGGACUCCAGGACCUAAGCCUAAACCUACUGCACUAGCUAACGCACGUCACCGCUCCCAUUUGAUGGGGAAACUGAGGCGUGGAGUAGUUAUGAACUUGCUCGAGGCCCUGCUGCCAGUAAGUGGGAAAGCAGGAUUCAAACCCAGGGACCUGCCCAGGCCCCCUGCUCUGAGAACAAGGAGGCUCCCUCCUGGGGGUGUCUGUGCCGGUCCCAGGAGAACCUGCAGAGGCAUCGGGUCAGCGGUGCUCCUGCGGGCCGACACUCACCAGCCCGCACUCGUUCAAGGCCAGGUUCUCGUCCUCGGACAGCUUCUGCCCUCCCGAGGCCAGCAGCUCAAAAGGCAGCCAGUCGCUCUGCAGGGCCUCCCGGACGAACCCGUACACCGCCCCCAGCCGCUCCCGAGCGUAGAAAGUGCCUGGGGAGUGGGGGAGUCAGAGCGGGUGGGGCCCAGGGCCCCCUACCAACCCGAGCCGCCCUCCACGGGCAUCGUUGGUGCCCACCCUGCAGGAGGCAGCCAUCGGGGAGGCGCACGCGCAGCAGCGUGUAGUUGUACUUGCGCAGCCCCCGCUGCUCCUCCUUCUCCCGCAUGGCCUUGGUCCGCAGCACGCUCAGCCGCUCCACCGCCUCGGACCUGCACACGCGGGCCAGGUCACGAGGGCUGGCCGGGGUUCUUCCACCCCGCCCCGCCCCACUCUGCUCCGCGGACGUCAGGCCCACCUGAGCCUCUGCUCCCGCUUGAUCUCCUCUGCUGUGAGGUUGAAGAAGUCCCCAGGCAGUUCGAACUGCGAGGCCAGGGGCGAGGGCUGGAAGACGCGGCGCUGCCUGUCCAGCUUGGCGCGCACGGGCUCCGCAGCCAGCAGCUGUUCCUUGUGCCUCUCCAGGCUCUGGGGCUGGGCCAAGGUGGUCUCGCUCAGCACGUAGAACUCCUCGGGGUCCUCUACAGCGUGGCAGGACAUGGGUGUCACUGUGCAAUGGAGAGACCCCCAAGCCGGGCCCUCCUGCCCCGAGGCCCCUCGUCCCCAUUCCCUACUCAGCCAGGCCCUGUCCACUUACCCUGAUCCUGGGCGGGAAGCAACACCUUCUGGAACCCAAUGGCCUCAAAAAACUCGUGGGUCCCUUCCAGGCAGUUAAUGCGCUCCUGGGGGUGGAGAUGGGCGUCACUGGGGGCCCCUGGCUUCCUCCAUGGCCUGGCCACACCCCACCCAGUCCAGGGGCCCGGCUCUCGCUAUUGGGAGCAGCUGUCGACCCCUGGAUGGGGCCCAGCCCUGGGGGUGCCUCAGUGCUGGAUGCAAACCUGCUUUUCUACGGUGGGGGCUGUGGAGUCUCCAACAGCUCUGCACAGAGGAAAGAGUCACAACCAGGCACGAAGAGUGAGGCUGAGGAGCCAGACACUGCUGGGGCCUGAUGCGAGGCUAACACCGCCCAGGACCCCAGUCCCUGCCCUUUCCCCCAGAAGAACCAGACAUCUGGUUUGCAUGAGAAACCUCCCCAGAGUCGACAUGUUCCCAAACAAGCCCAGCUGAAGAGGAGGAAAAGGAUGCAGGUAACAGCAGCUCAGCCACACUUGGCCUCUAGUCAGAGGGAAGAAGCGGCCCAGUGACGCGAGGGCAGCAGACCAUCUCCGGGUGGAAGGCACACCUCGGACACCCCAUGGAGCCCACCCCUGGUGCCAGCAGGAGCCCCACGGAACCCCUCACCGUCCCACCAGCCCUGGAAGGGCACAAUUAACCACAGCGGUGGGGAAGCCACAGUGCCGGAAGAGUGGAGAGCCAGAGCUGAAGGGCCGCAGUGCCAGCAGGGGGCUCCUGCGGGGUGCUCCCUCGGCGUUGGCGGGCAGCGUGGACCUCCAGGCCUGCCCCCGAUCCUGAGACCCGGGGAGUGGGGUGGGACCCUGCCUCCUCCACAUGUUCCCCAAGGAAGCCAGGGUGGGAAACCCCUGAUUCCUUCAACACCUUCAUUUUGCACACGGGUAAACUGAGGCCCAAGGAGGCCCAGCCCUUUGCCUGAGGCCUCUGGGUGGAGCUGCCUCACUCUCGGCCUAUGCUCCUUCCCAACCCACCUCAGCAGGUAAUGAGGGGGCCAGAGGGGGUGACAGCCCCAGUGGGAGGGGUGCUGGGAUGAGCUGGAGGGGCCAGGCAGGGCAAAGGGGCCACACGCUCACUUGGCAAUGGUGUCCACACCCAGCUUCACCCGGUCCUGGUCUUUGUUGAACGUGUAGAUCUUCAUGAUGGAGGCGGCCACUGGGUCGGUGGAGAAGUGCUGGGAGGAGGGAAGCAGGGAAAGCCACUCACUGAGAGCCCGGGCCGCACGGCCCUCCGCUGCCCAGGUAACAGGGGCAGGAAAAGGAAGGCAGAACAGCGGCUUGGAGCGGCCCCAGCUGUGCGCUCAUCACAGAAAGGAAAAGAGAGACCCUCCAAGACCGCAGCCCUGCCCACGCCCCAGGGCAGAGGCGACGCAGCCAAGACCCAGCAGAACUCAAGUCUCCCCUUCCGCCUUCUCAAGGCUAGAUCCAUGGGACUUGGAAGCCAGUGUGACGCGACAGAACUGUGCCUCACACUCUGGCUUUAGAACUCGACCUCAGUGCUGAGAUCCAUCAAGGCCACCGCCACUUACAGAACCUCCCGCCACCAUGGACGCCCCAUCCCUCCUGCUCUCGCAGCCCCAUGAUGGACGUUCUGGAACCACUCCCGGGCCUCAUGUUUACAAAGAGACCGAGAGGCCCAUCGUCCAGGGUCACAGGGAUGGCAGGUGGCAGAGAGGACACAAAUGAGUCUGCAACCCUCAAUGUCUGAAACUCAAUAGCUGGAAGACGGAUACCCCCAGCCCCUGCCCCUCCCCGAGGUCCCACCUAUCCACCUAUGUUACCGGGGGAGGGGAGAAGUCAUAGCUGGAACUCUGGGGGUUUCCCAGAACCAGCCCUGCUGACUGCGAACAGCGUCCCAGCAUGGAGAGGCUGAGAACAGUACGUACCCUAAGACCUGGAAAAGAUUGGGGCACAAAUCCACGCUCGGCACAGCCAUCACACACGGCCACACCCAGAGAGCCACCCAUGGCCUGGGAAGCAGGGCUGCCACCCGCACCUCCCUGGGCUGCCCAGACGAGGGCGGGUGAACAGAAGGGCAGCCCAGGGCCAUGUGUCAGGAUUCGGGCCACCUGCCCAGGCAGCCCAGAGCUCCACCCACCACCCCCCACCCUCAACUGCACAGCAGGGUCCCUCAGCAGCCCCCUGCGUCACACGGACCAAUGACCUACACACUGAGCCGGGGCUCAUGCCAACUGAAAAUUGGGACCCGGCCCAGUCUGCCGGUUUAGUUGCUGAGAUGAUGUGGGGAGCGGGACAGAGCACGUGGAUGCAGAGAGGCAGAGCU